rnacentral:rRNA from 1 species
AGAUUUCUUCGGGAUGAAGUUGCUUAUGACUGAGUGGCGGACGGGUGAGUAACGCGUGGGUAACCUGCCUUGUACUGGGGGAUAGCAGCUGGAAACGGCUGGUAAUACCGCAUAAGCGCACAGUACCGCAUGGUACGGUGUGAAAAACUCCGGUGGUGUGAGAUGGACCCGCGUUGGAUUAGCUAGUUGGUGAGGUAACGGCCCACCAAGGCGACGAUCCAUAGCCGACCUGAGAGGGUGACCGGCCACAUUGGGACUGAGACACGGCCCAAACUCC